rnacentral:lncRNA from 1 species
CCCCUGUCCUCAUCUCUUCCUUUCCUCCUGCCCCAGAAUAUAUUUCUUAGGGAGCAGCUGGACUGAAAGUUAUGGAGGAGCUCAGUGGGUUUGGAGGGGGAGAGGGAGAGAAGCUCCCCUCAAAUGCCCUCUCAGUUAAGGUUUGUUCUUUAAAUAUCCCACGUUUGUGCUAGAAGUGUUACAACAAAGUAGGCAAUGUGUUUUGUCUACAGACUAACCUGUGCACAUAGUUUCGCGUUAGCGUCCUUUCAUUCCUUCUAGAUAAUCUGUUACUGCUAUUAAUAGAAACAUACGCAACCUUCCUGGUGACCGAAAUUGCCUGGAGAUAACAAGAGGUUUUCUCGUUGUGCCUGGAACUUUUUGGUUGGGCGUUUUUUUGGGUGUUGGGCUGGCAACGGUGGAGCAAAGGCCUAGUGCAGCAGGCGAAGGCUUGUUCUGCUGGUGGAGCCACUGGAGGCCUGUGUGAGGAAUGCCCCUUGCUUUCCAGGACAUGACCUGGAUGCACCCCAAUACAGGGUACAGUCUGGUGGUUAUGAUAUGCAGUGCCUGCUGACAAACCAAGAAGCUGUUUUGAUGACCCGUUGUGCAAAGAAACCUGUCUGCAGGCCGUAUGUCUGUGUGAUUACAAAAGUGGAGCAUUUCUUAUCCCCAGUGUUAAGUGGAACCAGUCUGGCUGAGCUGAGUAGAAACGCAGUGACUAGUGCUGGGGCCGUUACUGGCUGUGUAUGGGGAGGCAUCCUCUGGAGAUGGAUCGGGCAGAACAAGCAAACCAUGACAUUCAGCCGUUACGUCUGCAAGCAGAUCUGCGGCUACUUCCUGCAGUUGUCCAUGGUGUUUCUCAUUGGUAAUUAUGGAAGAACAUAAAACACAGGCAGCUUUCCUUUCAGAUGCCACCAAAUCUAUGUAAAGUCAGACUGGGAAAAGCCACAGGAGCAAAGAAUGGGUGGGGAGAGGCGGUUCUGGAGCUGUAAAAGACAUCUUUACAGCCAACAGACCGAAAGGCUCUUCCAGUUUGUAUCUUGCUCAAAUAUUUAAGACAACAGGUUACAUUCUUUUAACUUCUGUUUUCUCUCGUAGAAAUCCAUAUUUAGGUAGAUAAUUUUAAAAGUCA